GAGUCGGACCUGCCCAGUGAAUAUUUUUUAACGGCCGCGGUACUCUGACCGUGCAAAGGUAGCAUAAUCAUUUGCCCUAUAAUUGAGGGCUAGUAUGAAUGGUUUGACGUGAACAAAACUGUCUCUAUAUAAUUUUUUAGAACUUGAUUAUUAGGUGAAGAAACCUAAAUACUAUUGAAAGACAAGAAGACCCUAUUGAGCUUUAAAAGAAUAAAUUGACGGUAUUAUAUAUGACUAAAUGUUAGUCAGUUUUAAAUUUUGGUUGGGGCGACUAUGGAACAAAUAAAGCUUCUUUGUUAUUCUAGAAACCUGCGAGUUUUGAUCCAAAAAUUUUGAUCAACGGAAUUAGUUACCAUAGGGAUAACAGCAUAAUUCUCUUUGAGAGUUCAUAUCGAAAAGAGAGUUUGUGACCUCGAUGUUGGACUAGAAUAUCCUAAAGAUGUAGCAGUCUUUAAGGGUUGGUC
rnacentral:rRNA from 1 species